rnacentral:pre_miRNA from 1 species
UUAUCUCAUAUUUGUAUGGAAUAGGAUCGUUUGCCUACGUUUGCCGCUAGGGGCGCUGUUCCAACUGCAUACAAAAUUGGGUUA